rnacentral:rRNA from 1 species
UACGUAGGCAGCGAGCGUUGUUCGGAGUUACUGGGCGUAAAGGGUGUGUAGGCGGUUCUUUAAGUUUGGUGUGAAAUCUCCCGGCUCAACUGGGAGGGUGCGCCGAAUACUGAGGGACUAGAGUGCGGGAGAGGAAAGUGGAAUUCCUGGUGUAGUGGUGAAAUGCGUAGAUAUCAGGAGGAACACCGGUGGUGUAGACGGCUUUCUGGACCGUAACUGACGCUGAGACACGAAAGCGUGGGUAGCAAACAGG